UGAUAUCUGACACCCAACUUCAUAAUGAGAUUACUUUGUUUAAAAAUAAAACUGAAACACGAGUUAUUUUUAUGUAGUUUGAAGAAGUAUACCGCAAUGUUAUAACAGCGCUUUAUGUCGUUUCUUCGGCUGAAAUUCGAUUUACGAAAAGUACAAACAAUGGUUAUGUACAAAACAAGGCUACAUUUAAAUUCACCAGACGAGCGCAUGGUGGACGCACCACUGGUCUCCUCCAGUCCAGCAGUCUCCACCUCCUUGCGUCGAUAAUCCUCCAUGCUAUAAUUAGUAGACUAUUCAGUAUAUAUUAUAUUAUGUUAUAUUCUAUUCUAUAUGAUAUUCUAAUUAUAUUAUAACUAUAUAUUAUAACAUUCUGCUUUUUACUUUUCUUCUAUGAUUCUUAUUCGAUGUGUUGUAACUAUCUGCUCAAAUAGUUAUAAAUUAAUCUAAAUAUGGAUAGACAAACAAAGCUGUUAAUUGCUGUUUCCAAUUUAAAAUUUUUAAGCAAUUAUUAUUUUUCCAAAAUGUUAGUAAUUACACAAAAGUGAAAAUAUAAUAAACAAAAUGACUAAAAA